rnacentral:lncRNA from 1 species
CACCCUGCAUUUUUGUGUUGCGUUGCACCACAUUGAUGUCCCAUGUCACGAUGACUGAUUUAUAGCAGGAGAUAAAAAAAAAAAAAACCAUCUAACUCCUUUCAGGAAAUCAAAACCCCAAUGAUAUUACUCACAGGACCAGUCAGAGGACUGGUGUUCAUACCAAAACACUAUUUUUUAAGAGUGAGUUAAAGGGGAAAGCUGAGAUUGCACAGUGCUGUCACUAAAUGUGUGCAAGUAAACAUCGCCGAGACAUCGAGAAAUCAAAGGAAACAGAUUCAGUGUGUGUGUGUAUGUGGCAAGAAAAACAUGGUCAUCAUGCUAACUUGAAGGAAACGAGCAGAUCGUAUAACAUUAACCUGCAGCUGCCAACCAUGUUGCUCCAGCAAAAGGAUAUGUCAAGGCACAGGUUUGCUCAGGAAAGCAAAAGCUCUGCUUACAGCCAUGCAUGCUUACAUGUGAUUUUAAGUGCAACAAGCGAGAUCAGUGCUUUUUCAUAAAGAUAAUAAAAGCUUGAGUAACAAAAAACAAAAUUGUGGUUAUACUCUCCUGCCCUACUUCAGCUGUUAAAGCUUGGCCUCCAGACAGUGACUCUGAUAAGGGCUUCCAGAUCAACUAUGUUCAGCCUCCUUUACGGCGCAUGUUUUGCUUUGACAAGACAGCAGUCAUAUUCAUCAUGAAUACGCUGCAUGAGGUCUUCCAUUCAGGAUGGGUCAGAGCUGGAAUACAUCCCUACAUUCAGGAUGCAAAGCUCUGCAUGAGAGACUUGUGGUACUGAACAAAGCACAAAUAAAAAAAAAAUCCCUUUUUUUGUAUGUCAGUAAAGUAGAAUGUUGUAUGAAAUAAUGUGUCACAAAAUAAGCCUUUGAUAUGGUUUUUAUGGGAUUUCAACAGUGCUUCAAAUAAUAU